GAUGAACGCUAGCGGCAGGCUUAACACAUGCAAGUCGAGGGGCAGCAUAAUGGAUAGCAAUAUCUAUGGUGGCGACCGGCGCACGGGUGCGUAACGCGUAUGCAACCUACCUUUAACAGGGGGAUAACACUGAGAAAUUGGUACUAAUACCCCAUAAUAUCAUAGAAGGCAUCUUUUAUGGUUGAAAAUUCCGAUGGUUAGAGAUGGGCAUGCGUUGUAUUAGCUAGUUGGUGGGGUAACGGCUCACCAAGGCGACGAUACAUAGGGGGACUGAGAGGUUAACCCCCCACACUGGAACUGAGACACGGUCCAAACUCCUACGGGAGGCAGCAGUGAGGAAUAUUGGUCAAUGGGCGUUAGCCUGAACCAGCCAAGUAGCGUGAAGGAUGAAGGCUCUAUGGGGUCGUAAACUUCUUUUANAUAGAAUAAAGUGCAGUAUGUAUACUGUUUUGUAUGUAUUAUAUGAAUAAGGAUCGGCUAACUCCGUGCCAG
rnacentral:rRNA from 1 species